GUAUAUCCACUACUGUUCAAGGCACAAUGACUGCCACGAGAUUUAAUAUAUGCCUUGUUCUAUCAUGAUUAGAUACUAAUGACAAUGACCUAUCAUUUCAUUUUCAGUUAGAUUUGAACUUUCAUUAUGUAAUCACUGAAUAACCGAAGUACAUUACGCAUCUCUAGUACAAAUUACCGCAAACAUCUAUCUGCCAAUUGCAAGUUUUGACAUGAGCUGUACAUAGCAAAUGUGGAUAUAAAAUGAUUUAAUGGAAUCUGUGAUCAUCACGCCAUGGGAAAUGCGAUACCCGAAGUAUUUAGUAUCACGAACAGCUUGACCGGCUAGCAGUCAGGACACGAACUCGAUCCACGAUGAUGGCGAAUUGGAUGUGUUGGGAAAUGAAUUUGCACGAAUUACCCUCAUUGCUUUAGAGCUCAUCUUAAAUAUUGCCACGCCUAUUAUGAAUGUAUUUCCUCAUCAACGAUAAUCAUGUUUAUGGACAGAAAACCGCAUUUCGUCCGGGUUUCACAAGACUAUACAAUAUCUGUCAGAUGAUAGCUAUUACAAGUUUCUUAUACUACAGUAUACCGUUUCACAAAACCAUUUUAACUACAGGAAAUCUUGAGAGAGAUCUUGGGAUGUUGUUAUAUUCGUUACAUUGAAAAAUACCACGCUUCUGUUAUCAUCUUUUAACUACAUUGGUAAAUUCAAAUGCUUCGUGUAUAUGAGACUAUUAGCGGAUCCAGGAAUUGCAGUUGGGGGCGCAACUUUAUGAGACAGGGGGUCUGGGGGCAGCCUUGAGGUCCCCAGUCGAAGCCCUGGUGGGCACCAGGAGGCGAAGCCCCGACACGUUCCUGGAUUUUACAGAUUUUGCAGGGCUUAAAAUAUGUCUCCUAUGUAGUCAUUUUUAUUAUUUUCUAUCAUUUUUGAUAAGGCGAAAUUAAUAAAAUAACGCAACUUUUAAGGGGUUUUGGAAAAAAUAAUGUAUGUUCUCCCAAUAAAAUUAAUUCAAUAAAUUAAAA